UGCGUCCUACGGGACGCAGCAGUGGGGAAUAUUGCACAAUGGGGGGAACCCUGAUGCAGCGACGCCGCGUGAGUGAAGAAGUAUUUCGGUAUGUAAAGCUCUAUCAGCAGGGAAGAAGAUGACGGUACCUGACUAAGAAGCCCCGGCUAACUACGUGCCAGCAGCCGCGGUAAUACGUAGGGGGCAAGCGUUAUCCGGAUUUACUGGGUGUAAAGGGAGCGUAGACGGCAGCGCAAGUCUGGAGUGAAAUGCCGGGGCCCAACCCCGGACCUGCUUUGGAAACUGUGCAGCUCGAGUGC
rnacentral:rRNA from 1 species